GAUGAACGCUGGCGGCGUGCCUAAUACAUGCAAGUCGAGCGAACGGACGAGAAGCUUGCUUCUCUGAUGUUAGCGGCGGACGGGUGAGUAACACGUGGAUAACCUACCUAUAAGACUGGGAUAACUUCGGGAAACCGGAGCUAAUACCGGAUAAUAUUUUGAACCGCAUGGUUCAAAAGUGAAAGACGGUCUUGCUGUCACUUAUAGAUGGAUCCGCGCUGCAUUAGCUAGUUGGUAAGGUAACGGCUUACCAAGGCAACGAUGCAUAGCCGACCUGAGAGGGUGAUCGGCCCCACCGGAACUGAGACACGCUCCAGACUCCUACGGGAGGCAGCAGUAGGGAAUCUUCCGCAAUGGGCGAAAGCCUGACGGAGCAACGCCGCGUGAGUGAUGAAGGUCUUCGGAUCGUAAAACCCUGUUAUUAGGGAAGAACAUAUGUGUAAGUAACUGUGCACAUCUUGACGGUACCUAAUCAGAAAGCCACGGCUAACUACGUG
rnacentral:rRNA from 1 species